GUUCCAGACCUCCCUGAGAAGUGGAGAGAGGCCUGGCUACACCUAGAUCUCCUAGAUCUCCAGUUGGCACAGUCUCAAGGGCGAGCCCAGCCCCUUGGUGUGGAAUUAGGGUCUGUGGCCUUUGCCCCCAGUCAGCCGUUGACAUCGUAAAGGGUUUGUUCCGUUAUCAGAGGGAGGGGAAGGACAGGAGAUGGUUGUCUGGGUGUGUUUAUUUUCUUUUAAAAUAUAGAUUGAUUGGAGAUGUCCACAGGGACACAUAGGGCACUGUGAUUGUCAGCCUGUUGGACGGGCAGUCCGUGUGAUCUCUGUUCUGAGCCGCACACUGGUGGCAUUGGACAAAAUGGCGGCCAUCUUGACAUGAGGAUCUGCAUGGCACAUGGGGCUCCCAGACAUUUUCAGGACUUCUUUCCCAUGAAAAGUGGAUGGGCUGCAGCACCUUGGAGUCAGGUUCCAGGGCCCUCCCGCAAGGUGCAGACUGCAUGAGAAAGAGAUUCCCCAGCUCAGGAACCAAAAGAGACACACCUAACCUGGUGAUGUCCCCACCAGCCGGUGACCCGUGGCCCCCAGCUCUUACUGUGAGGUUCCCAUGUACACGGCCCUGAGGAGGAUCCGAGUGCCCGCCGACCAUGGCCCAGGGCUUACGUAAGAGGAACUAGGGAAGUGAGGGGUACACAGGAGAUGUUCUGGAAGCAGGGAAGGAUGGCUGCACACGUUGGGUGAGCGUCCUGGGGGGCAGGAGAAGAAGAAGAAACUUCCUCCGAGCUUCCCAAAGACCACCACCGCUGCUCACACGUUGGAAAUCCUUCUGUCCGUUCAUUUUCGGUUUUUAUUUGGUUUUCACAUUGUUGUAAUCAUCCCGUGUUUACAAUUUUGUAUCCCACCGCAUUUAUCAUCCUAGCGUGUAUAUGUUUCUGCAUGUUAAAUUUAUCCUUGUUAUUGCAAAGGUUCAUAUUUUUAUAUAUAUUUACACACAAAGGCUCACUUCACGGGUUUUCCCUUUCUUAGCAGCAAACUUUGAAAAUGUCCCUUUUCUCUUCUAUCUCUCCCUCCCCCUCUUUGCCCCCCCUCCUAUCCUUUCUUUUCUUCCUUUCUUUCUCUCGAAAUUUCUAGUUCCAACUCACUGCUUCCCUUCACUUCACAUCUUCUCCAGACUUAUGACUGGACAUCUCUAAGACAUACACCAGAGGAUUCCUCUAAGGUCUAAACUCCCUGAAGUUUUGCGGUACCUGAUUGGCAGAGGAGAAAUUUCUGGUGAAGGCAGUUCUCACCCAGAGGGGCUGCAGCUGGGAGGCUCAUUACUCCAGGCCAGGGACAGUUGUCGAGAUGAAAAGGACAGGAAGACGAGUCUGGGCCAAGGCAUGUAAAGGUGUUUCCUGGACUUUGCAAGACCCCCGAGUGUCAGAGAAAGGGAAAUGUAACAUAUUCUACUUGGAGAGGAAAUAAAUAUGUGGUCUGUUAACUAAGCCUUGGUCUACACUCGGAAAGAGUUUUAAUAGUGUUUACAGGGAUGUUUCCCAAGGGCUGGUUUGCCCUUUCCCUGCUGGGUACCUCGAGUCGGUAAGUCCAAGCAGCCUCUCUCUCUCUUCUCCUCUCUCUUCCCUUCUCUCUCCCCUAGCCCCAUGGAAAGUCCAUAGGAGCCUUUGUCCAAUAACCAUGACACCAGCCUACUUUGUGCCCCGUGCGCGUCGCUGUCCCCAGCUCUUGCGUCCAUGUCUCAGCAUACUUCCAGGAGACAGGUGCCAUCACCGAGCACUGCCCAAGAUCACACGACUAGAAUGUGACAGAGCCCGGAUGGAAACUCAGGGCACCCGGCCCUAAAGCCCAUUCUCCUAACCGCUACCCCAGUACUCCCACUAGUCUUUUAAGCACUCUUAACAUCAGUCCUUUCAAAUACACAACAGAAUGCCCGUGGGAUUCUACUGCAGAGACAUGCACGAAGUUCAAAGCUCUUUUUCAGAUGAUGUGCCAAGAAUUCUACAUUGUUUGCAGUUCGGUGUUGGGUGACUGCUUUUCUGCACCAGGUGUGGAACAACUCGGAAAGAGUCUGCCUUUUCCUGAACCUCGCAGAGAAGCGCCUAGAGCUGUGCCUGAGCAGGGCAGCCCAGCUGGAGACACGUCAAGGCUUUGUGUCCCUUUGGCAGCCAGGGCCUAGGGCUGCAGAGCGAGGACAGCGUACUCCACCAGCCUGAUCUAAUCAGAACUCUGCUGCCGCGGCAUGUCUCUCUGUCCCCCACGUGUCCUAGAGCCCAUUUCCCAUCCCCCAGCACCUCCGUUCCUGUCUGCAUCGACUCUCAGGACAGAGUUUCUGGAGUAGAGAACUUUGCCAGGAAGAGGAAGUCACCGGCAUUGUUUUGAAAAGCUCCCCUUCUGCGUGCCUCUCUUCCCUGAGACCCUUGAGUGACUUUCACUGGGGGCAGCCGCCAGGCCUAUUGUCCACCCACCCCUACUUGCCACACACUUCCUGCCCUGAAUGUCAAGGUUUUCAUUUGACCAUGAUAUAAUGAGCUGUAUAAAAUUAAAAACAGCUAAAUACCA